UACGAGAGGCCCAAACGUUAUUCGGAUUUACUGGGCUUAAAGAGUUCGUAGGCGGCGCGGAAAGUAGGGUGUGAAAGCCCUCGGCUCAACCGAGGAAUUGCGCUCUAAACUGCCGCGCUCGAGGAACCUAGAGGUGAGCAGAACUGAUGGUGGAGCGGUGAAAAUGCGUUGAUAUCAUCAGGAAUACCGGAGGCGAAGGCGGCUCACUGGGGGGUUAUCUGACGCUGAGGAACGAAAGCCAGGGGAGCAAACGGG
rnacentral:rRNA from 1 species